UACGGAGGGGGCUAGCGUUGCUCGGAAUUACUGGGCGUAAAGCGCACGUAGGCGGCUUUGCAAGUUAGAGGUGAAAGCCCGGGGCUCAACUCCGGAAUUGCCUUUAAGACUGCAUCGCUAGAAUUGUGGAGAGGUAAGUGGAAUUCCGAGUGUAGAGGUGAAAUUCGUAGAUAUUCGGAAGAACACCAGUGGCGAAGGCGACUCACUGGACACAUAUUGACGCUGAGGUGCGAAAGCGUGGGGAGCAAACAGG
rnacentral:rRNA from 1 species